rnacentral:lncRNA from 1 species
AAAUUAAUCACAGGAACGAAACACACUCUGGAUUUUCUUCCGAUGUGCAGACUGCACUGAUUGAAGUAUUGAAUCCACUUACAGCACCACCUUCCUAAUAUCACAGCCAUGUUGUACAGGCAACACAUUCUACAGAAGUGAAAACUGAGACUCAUCUAGUACAAGUAUUUCCACAGUAUUAUACAGGAUUGGACUGGCUAUAUGACAGGUUCAAGUCAUGGAGCUUCCCAUAUGGUAUGAAGGAAUUUUUUAAGAAAAAGCU